CAGGCUGCGUGGGUGAGUAGGGGGAAGAAAAUAAAAAUAUUUCUCUUUAUAAAUGCAAUUAUGAAAUAAGAAUUGAUCGUGCCUUCUGCAUAUGUAUAUCUCCAGUUCCGUGACUAAGCCAUGGAAAGUCUGAAAACAUGCAGGGGAUCCUGAGUGUCUUCCACAGCUGACCAGCUGCUGCGAAGGAACAUCUGGAGAGAGAAACACUCUCACCCAGACAGCGAGUCACCCCUAAAAAUGUCAACUACAUUACAUCUUCAAGAGAUUCUAGACCUUGCCUCCAAAUAUGGAGUGAUUACCUAUCAACCAGAAAAAUCUCCAGAUGACCCCAGAGCCUAGACGAUUCAGAAGCAUCUGAACUGCUAAAGAGAAAAACACAGAGUCAAAAUAAGUGAAUAAAGUGUCUUCAACUAUUCAACAUCUGUAAACCCCUCAUUUUAGUAAUUUCUGACACACAUUUAAUCCCUCAGCAUUUGAUCACUGAAGAUCCAACAAACCAACACAAUGGAAUGUCUUGAAGGUAGAAAGACCACAAUGUACUACUCUCAUUUAGAUUAUGGAGGGUAUCUUGAUCCAAUCCAUUGAAUCCUCAGGACAUCAGAUAUCUGUCAAAAUGAAGAUACAAUAAUUCUUCAAAAAUUAGUCUACUCAUUAACAAUACUGAAGAAUUAGGCAUAUUAAAGGAGUCUUGCUGUAUCUCAUAAUGAAGUUAGUUUUGUGCUGCAGAAGAGUGUUUCACUCAAAACAGAAUCACUAACUAUGGGGGAUUAUUAGAAACUGAAACUAGCAUUUAUUUCAAUGAUUUGAAUAGCACUACCUCCUUCAUGUUAACGAAAUGCUUCCACACAGAGGACUUUGGAAAGAGAAUCAUUAAGAUAUAAAGAGACGGAUGGAGAGGAGAUGGAGGAAGACAAGGGAAGAGAGCGAGAUCAGAAGAGAGUAGAGAAAUUUGUUUUUUGACACUGCACCUCCAACUUUAUCCUCUUCUGGCAAUAAUUAAGUACCAGGAGAGAGAAAGAAGAAAAAUACAGGAAGGCAAAGAAGAGGACUAGAAGAAAUAUGAAGGAGGAAUAAAGAAAUGUAGGAGACCCUAAGAAAAAUAUACUUAUAAAUUUGAUGUUAGACUCAAAAUUAAGCUCAGUAUAAAAAAAAAUAUCAAACCCUUCAUAGGUGCCAGGCACUGUGUUGGGAGCUAGAACUAUGAUGAUAAAGGACACAUGGCUACUGCUACCAGUCACUCACACACAAAUAAAUAAAGGUUGAAAAGAAAUAACAUGAAAUCCAAGAAAACUUGCAUUGCAAUGAUGAUUAGAAGGCUCAGAAGUGGUCAAGUGCAUUUCUCUCAGCACCUUUGGUGAUGAAUUCCCAUGUCAAAUUAUGUGUUGUCUACUUGACAUUAGCUUUUGGACUUUUUCAAAAUAUUUCUGAAAUUUGUUACUUAGUAAGAGAUUAGGGGAGGGGAGAUAAGAAUCUUUGUGAUUUGCAUCUCAGCAUGUUUCAUUCCCCGUCCAAAUAAAUGUUGUCUGGCUAAAGCAGCACAGC
rnacentral:lncRNA from 1 species